rnacentral:tRNA from 1 species
GUAUAGCUCAGUGGUAUAGCACGUGCUUAACAUGCACAAGGUCCUGGGUUCAAUCCCCAGUAC